GGUCAAGCAAGAAAGAGCGCAGGGUGGAUGCCUUGGCACUAAGAGCCGAAGAAAGACGUGAUAAGCUGCGAAAAGCCGUGGGGAGCUGCACAUAAGCUGUGAUCCACGGAUCUCUGAAUGGGGAAACCCGGCCGGACAAACUCCGGUCAUCCAUAGCCCAAUCCAUAAGCUAUGGAAGGGAACCCGGCGAACUGAAACAUCUAAGUAGCCGGAGGAAGAGAAAGAAACAUCGAUUCCGUAAGUAGCGGCGAGCGAACGCGGAAGAGGCCAAACCACGGUGCGUGCACUGUGGGGUUCGGACCGCAGAAUUGAUUCAACAAAGACAGCAGAAGGACUUUGGGAAAGUCCGCCAGAGAGGGUGACAGCCCCGUAAGCGAAGUCUGAGUUGACAAGGCGGGAUCCAGAGUACAUCGAGACACGAGAAACCUUGAUGGAAGGAGCGGAGACCACUCCGUAAGCCUAAAUACUCCUUAGUGACCGAUAGCGAAUAGUACUGUGAAGGAAAGGUGAAAAGAACCCCGGGAGGGGAGUGAAAGAGAACCUGAAACCCUGUGUUUACAAGCUGUGGAAGUGCAAUGAAAAUGCGCACGACCGCGUACUUUUUGUAGAACGGUCCGGCGAGUUACGCAGUGCGGCGAGGUUAAGGGCUUAAGGCCUGCAGCCGAAGGGAAACCAAGUCUGAACAGGGCGAGUCAGUCACAUUGCGUAGACCCGAAACCGGGUGAUCUAUCCAUGUGCAGGUUGAAGUUGCCGUAAAAGGCAAUGGAGGACCGAACUCACAUCCGUUGAAAAGGGUGGAGAUGACGUGUGGAUAGGGGAGAAAUUCCAAUCGAACCCGGAGAUAGCUGGUUCUCCUCGAAAUAGCUUUAGGGCUAGCCUCGGUUUAGUCUUAUGGAGGUAGAGCACUGAAUUUCCGCGGGGGCGUCAAAGCUUACCAAAGAAUAUCAAACUCCGAAUGCCAGAAAGAUGAUGACCGGGAGUCAGACUGCACGAGAUAAGUUGGGUAGUCGAAAGGGAAAGAGCCCAGACCACCAGUUAAGGUCCCCAAAUACGUGUUAAGUGGAAAAGGAUGUGGGAUUUCGAAGACAACUAGGAUGUUGGCUCAGAAGCAGCCACACAUUCAAAGAGUGCGUAACAGCUCACUAGUCGAGAGGUCCUGCGCCGAAAAUGUCCGGGGCUAAAACACGAUACCGAAACUGUGGGAUGUAUCUAAGAUACAUCGGUAGAGGAGCAUUCCCCAGGCCGACGAAGCCGUACCGAUAAGGAACGGUGGAGGUACGGGAAGAGAGAAUGCCGGAAUGAGUAGCGAGAGCGAGGUGAGAAUCCUCGCGGCCGAAUAUCUAAGGUUUCCAGGGUAAAGCUGAUCUGCCCUGGGUAAGUCGGGGCCUAAGGAGAGGUCGAAAGACGUAUCCGAUGGACAACAGGUUGAGAUUCCUGUACCUGAUAUCAACAGAACUGUGGGGACGCAGAAGGAAAGCGCGAGCCGGGAAUGGAAAGACCGGUACAAGCGAGGUAGGAGACGCGUUGGCAAAUCCGCUCAUCAAUCCGAAGACGUGACGUGGAGCGAAAUUAUAGUAGCGAAGCGCGUGAGCCGGCUGCCGAGAAAAGCCGCUAUAGUUUGAUAUGAGCCCGUACCGCAAACCGACACAGGUAGAUGAGGAGAGAAUCCUAAGGCCGACGGAAGAAGCAUUGUUAAGGAAUUCGGCAAAAUGACCCCGUAACUUCGGGAGAAGGGGUGCCAUCCUUUCGGAUGGCCGCAGAGAAUAGGUUCAAGCAACUGUUUAGCAAAAACACAGGUCUAUGCGAAACCGCAAGGUGAAGUAUAUGGGCUGACGCCUGCCCGGUGCUGGAAGGUUAAGAGGAGAGGUUAGCUUCGGCGAAGCUUUGAAUUCAAGCCCCAGUAAACGGCGGCCGUAACUAUAACGGUCCUAAGGUAGCGAAAUUCCUUGUCGGGUAAGUUCCGACCCGCACGAAAGGCGUAAUGAUUUGAACACUGUCUCAACAAUGCAUCCGGUGAAAUUGAAGUACCAGUGAAGAUGCUGGUUACCCGCGCCAGGACGGAAAGACCCCAUGGAGCUUUACUCCAGUUUGGUACUGGGAUUCGGUGCUGCAUGUACAGGAUAGGUGGGAGACUGAGAGCCCAGGACGUCAGUCCUGGAGGAGUCGCUGUUGGGAUACCACCCUUGCAGUAUUGGAUUUCUAACCUGCGGCCGUGACCCGGUCGGGGGACAAUGCCAGGCGGGGAGUUUGACUGGGGCGGUCGCCUCCGAAAGGGUAUCGGAGGCGCUCAAAGGUUCCCUCAGGAUGGUUGGAAACCAUCCGCAGAGUGCAAAGGCAGAAGGGAGCUUGACUGCGACACCGACGGGUGGAGCAGGGUAGAAAUACGGACUUAGUGAUCCGGUGGUAUAACGUGGGAUUGCCAUCGCUCAACGGAUAAAAGCUACCCUGGGGAUAACAGGCUUAUCACUCCCAAGAGUUCACAUCGACGGAGUGGUUUGGCACCUCGAUGUCGGCUCAUCGCAUCCUGGGGCUGUAGCAGGUCCCAAGGGUUGGGCUGUUCGCCCAUUAAAGCGGUACGCGAGCUGGGUUCAGAACGUCGUGAGACAGUUCGGUCCCUAUCCGGCGCGGGCGGAGGAUAUUUGAGAGGAGCUGACCCUAGUACGAGAGGACCGGGUUGGACGGACCACUGGUGUACCGGCUGUCUACCAAAGGCACCGCCGGGUAGCCAAGUCUGGUCGGGAUAAACGCUGAAGGCAUCUAAGCGUGAAGCCCCCCUCAAGAUGAGAUAUCCCGUCUAUAAGGACAUAAGAUCCCUUGCAGAGUACAAGGUAGAUAGGGCAGAGAUGUAAGCACAGCAAUGUGUUAAGUUGACUGUCACUAAUCGAUCGAAGGCUUGACCAA
rnacentral:rRNA from 1 species